rnacentral:rRNA from 1 species
UGGGGAAUUUUGCACAAUGGGGGAAACCCUGAUGCAGCGACGCCGCGUGAUUUAGAAGGCCUUCGGGUUGUAAAAAUCUUUUCUAUGGGUAGAAAAUGACAGUACCAUAGGAAUAAGGACCGGCUAAUUACGUGCCAGCAGCCGCGGUAAUACGUAAGGUCCGAGCGUUGUCCGGAAUCAUUGGGCGUAAAGGGUACGUAGGCGGGUAAGCAAGUUAGAAGUGAAAUCCUAUAGCUCAACUAUAGUAAGCUUUUAAAACUGCUCAUCUUGAGGUAUGGAAGGGAAAGUGGAAUUCCUAGUGUAGCGGUGAAAUGCGCAGAUAUUAGGAGGAAUACCGGUGGCGAAGGCGACUUUCUGGCCAUAACCUGACGCUGAGGUACGAAAGCGUGGGUAGCAAACAGG